CCUACGGGAGGCAGCAGUGGGGAAUAUUGCACAAUGGGGGAAACCCUGAUGCAGCGACGCCGCGUGAGUGAAGAAGUAAUUCGUUAUGUAAAGCUCUAUCAGCAGGGAAGAAAAUGACGGUACCUGAGUAAGAAGCCCCGGCUAACUACGUGCCAGCAGCCGCGGUAAUACGUAGGGGGCAAGCGUUAUCCGGUUUUACUGGGUGUAAAGUGAGCGUAGACGGCAGUGCAAGUCUGGAGUGAAAGGCGGGGGCUCAACCCCCGGACUGCUCUGGAAACUGUACGGCUGGAGUGCAGGAGCGGUAAGUAGAAUUCCUAGUGUAGCGGUGAAAUGCGUAGAUAUUAGGAGGAACACCAGUGGCGAAGGCGGCUUACUGGAAUGUAACUGACGUUGAGGCUCGAAAGCGUGGGGAGCAAACAGGAUUAGAUACCCUAGUAGUC
rnacentral:rRNA from 1 species